UCGGUUAAGCUUUGGGCCGAACUGAUGUGGGGUCGUGGCGGCUUGGAGUUGUUCUGUAUGUUCCUCCCCUUUCCAUGCUGUCAUUGCAUCGUCCACGUGCCUGAUGUGACUGCUGGGCUGCGGUGCGAGUUUGGGUGUGGCCUUGCUUUCCACGUCUCUUGGGGCGGUCUCGGCUGGCGGUGCCGCCGGCGGGCUUCCUAUGGGUGCGCCCGUCUGUUGUUUGUGGUGCCUCCCUUUGGAGGUGUGGUGGGAUUGGUGGCGGGGUGGGUGCGCUGUUUCCCGUGGGAGCUUCGGUGUGGUUUGCGCUGCUGGGACGUUCUCUAGCAUAAAUCGAUUAUAGUGAUAUGCACACUGGCUCUGGCUUCAAUUUUGGAUGUGGGUUGUCGAGGUCGAGAGCGGCUGGGAUGUCUUGUGGCUCCCGGGUGGUCCUUCUUAUCCUGUUUGGGGCUUCUGCAGUUGUCGUUGUGGAAUGCUCAUUCUGGCCUGGUGUAUUCGUGGUCCACUUGGCUAUUGCUUCCUCGAGGUGAUAGGUUGGGGCGGCGACCAAUAGUGG
rnacentral:lncRNA from 1 species